AAUUACCCAAUCCUGACACAGGGAGGUAGUGACAAGAAAUAACAAUACAGGGCUUAAAGUCUUGUAAUUGGAAUGAUGGGAAUCUAAACCCUUCCCAGAGUAUCAAUUGGAGGGCAAGUCUGGUGCCAGCAGCCGCGGUAAUUCCAGCUCCAAUAGCGUAUAUUAAAGUUGUUGCAGUUAAGAAGCUCGUAGUUGAAUUUCUGCCUUGUCAUUAAUCUCGCUUCCGAGCGUUUUUUUAUUGACUUGGCAUCUUCUGGAUUUGGUGCCUUCGGGUACUAUUUUCCAGGAUUUACUUUGAGAAAACUAGAGUGUUUCAAACAGGCAUUCGCCUUGAAUACUACAGCAUGGAAUAAUGAAGUAGGGCUUUGGUUCUAUUUUGUUGGUUAUUGAGCCAGAGUAAUGGUUAAUAGGAGCAGUUGGGGGCAUUCGUAUUUAA
rnacentral:rRNA from 1 species